AAAGAAACAAAAACUUCAUCUUUCUAAACGCUCUUCUGCCGCCAUCAUUGUCUCACCAUCUCUCGUUCUUCCAUUCUGUCAUAAACGGAGGCUACAUAGGUACUACGAAAGAGAACUACUAGUUUGAAGUACGCGCGUGUUCAAGGUUGGUAAAGGUACUUGGCUACGAGUGAGGAGACGCUUAGAAUAACCACCUAGUCAAGAGACAAUUUCUUUUCCAUUUCGAGUUGGAUUUUAUUGUUUAUAUUAUGGGGAUUAAUUGGUUGUAAUAUUUUAUUGGCCCCCUUUAGACCACUUACUUAAUUUUGACUUUAAUGGCUUUAAAUUGUUUUGUUGCUUUGCAUUUAUUUUCUAAGGAGAAUAAAUGUAGCAGUGACACUCCCAAGGUUUGGACGAUUGUUUUAUAAAGUAAAAACAUGGUUUUUGAUUAUAUAAAAGGUCCAAAUUUUGGGGGUGUUACACAACAUCCCAAGCGUAUUAUGAUGAGUGUUGUACUCUUUUCCUUCACUAGGGUUUUAUCCCACAGGAUUUUCCUAGAAAGGUUUUUAAUGAGGCAUCAUCUCAUGUACAUUACAGAGUCAUUGUAUUAUUUUAGAUAAUGGACAUCCAAGGGGGAGUGUUAUAAAUAUAUUGUAUUGUGGAUGCCCAUUAUACCUU